AGUGAAUCAGUGUGUGAGUGAGUGAGUGAUUGUGAGAGUGAAUGAGUGUGUGAGUGAUUGUGAGUGUGAGUCAGUGUGUGACUUAGUGAUAGUGAGAGUGAAUCAGUGGGUGAUUGAGUGAUAGUGAGUGUGAAUCUGUGUGAGUGAUUGUGAGUGAGUGUGUUUUGAGUGGCGUGGGGCAGGGGGUGGUUGUGACUGUGUAAUGACACUGUUCUGUCCGAACUGCCCAAGGUGCGAUGGUCCCUAGACAGACCUCUGGGAAGAGGAGGAAGGACUCCGAAGGGCUACGGAGCAGGCAGGCAGGACAGGAGCUGAGAGAGAGACGGGAGAGAGGCAGCAGCACGAGCUCCUGUCCUCCUGGGAGCACACUGCCCUACUUCGCUCUGUUAGAAGGCGCUGGUUUAAUUGCUGGAGGGGCUUCAUAGGAAACACGUGCGAGACGGGGUACUGCUGGCACUCAAAUACCAGGAGGAUCACAGAGAGGGGGCGUACAGGAACGGAGGCCUGUCCUGUCCAAAACUGAGAACACGGGCACGCAGGGUUCUGCUUUCGUGCGGCAUCUCUGCAGUUGACAGCACACUUUGGAAACAGCUGGGUAGACGCCAGUGCAGAUCCUGUGCACCAUGUCUGAACUCGCUGGGAUGAGCCUUGUAGGACCCAGAACAGGACCUGUAUCUGUCUUCACACAGGCUGCCAUCACAUCAUCCAGGUGGGGGCUGUGCAUAGGUGGUGGUGGAGGGGAGUCCCUAUUACCUGUAAAGUGCUUUGAGUGGAGUGUCCAAAAAAAAAGCACUGUUUAAGUGUAAGUAAUUGUAUUGCAGAACAUGUUUUUAAGUGCUUGGAGCUGAGCAGUAAUAAAACAUACGUCACACA
rnacentral:lncRNA from 1 species